UACAGAGGUCUCAAGCGUUGUUCGGAUUCAUUGGGCGUAAAGGGUGCGUAGGUGGCGAGGCAAGUCAGAUGUGAAAUCCCGGGGCUCAACCCCGGAACUGCAUUUGAAACUGCCUUGCUCGAGUACUGGAGAGGAGACUGGAAUUUACGGUGUAGCAGUGAAAUGCGUAGAUAUCGUAAGGAAGACCAGUGGCGAAGGCGGCUAUCUGGACCAACACUGACACUGAGGCACGAAAGCGUGGGGAGCAAACAGG
rnacentral:rRNA from 1 species